rnacentral:lncRNA from 1 species
AUGAAUGUCCUGCAGAUCUGCUCAGUGAUCUGCUCUUUUGUCAGCCUUCUGCUGUUCCUUAUAUCCCUUUGCUCAAACUACUGGGUGGUAAAUAGUACUGUGCAUGCGGGUCUUUGGAGGUAUUGUGUCUUGAAUGCUUGUUCUUUAUUUGGGAUGAAGCUGGGAGCUGCAGGCCACGCUGUUCGAGCUUUUAUGCUGCUGGGGAUGAUUGCUGGUGCCGUCUCUUUCUUUGGUCUUUGCUCCUCAUUCUUUAAAUCUAAAGUCAGCUCCAUGUCCCUGAUCAAGACCUCAGCUAACGCCAGUAUCCUUGCAGCACUUUGUGUCAUGAUUGCCAUGGCCAUUUUCACAGGAGCUUCAUCUGCCCCAGGAUUUGUUUACGGCUGGUCUUUCAUCUUCGGAUGGGCUUCUUUUCCUCUGUUUCUGAUAACAGGUGUGGUGACUAACCUAUCACGAAGUCGAUCAUAGGAGUGAUCAUGCAGAAAAGGUGCUGAAGCUUUGUGAGAUGACACAAAUUACAAGCAUUUGCAGACGACUUGGUGUUUAUUUUGGAAGAUCCAUUGGGAACAACAUUGAGACUACUGGAGAAAAUUGAUGAAUUCAGAGAAAUAGCAAGACUGAAGAUAAACCAAGAAAAAACUAAAGUUAUGGAGCUAAACAAAAAAUAAACUCUCAGAGACAUCAGACCUACA